rnacentral:rRNA from 1 species
CCAAAGCUGGCGACCGGCGCACGGGUGAGUAACACGUAUCCAACCUGCCUCAUACUCGGGGAUAGCCUUUCGAAAGAAAGAUUAAUAUCCGAUAGCAUAUAUUUCCCGCAUGGGUUUUAUAUUAGAGAAAUUCGGUAUGAGAUGGGGAUGCGUUCCAUUAGUUUGUUGGGGGGGUAACGGCCCACCAAGACUACGAUGGAUAGGGGUUCUGAGAGGAAGGUCCCCCACAUUGGAACUGAGACACGGUCCAA